rnacentral:rRNA from 1 species
UUCCGUAGGGGGAACCUGCGGAGGGAUCAUUACUGAGUUAUCUAAACUCCAACCCUAUGUGAACUUACCGCCGUUGCCUCGGCGGGCCGCGUUCGCCCUGUAGUUUACUACCUGGGGGCGCGCUACAGGCCCGCCGGUGGACUGCUAAACUCUGUUAUAUAUAUACGUAUCUCUGAAUGCUUCAACUUAAUAAGUUAAAACUUUCAACAACGGAUCUCUUGGUUCUGGCAUCGAUGAAGAACGCAGCGAAAUGCGAUAAGUAAUGUGAAUUGCAGAAUUCAGUGAAUCAUCGAAUCUUUGAACGCACAUUGCGCCCAUUAGCAUUCUAGUGGGCAUGCCUGUUCGAGCGUCAUUUCAACCCUUAAGCCCCUGUUGCUUAGCGUUGGGAAUCUAGGUCUCCAGGGCCUAGUUCCCCAAAGUCAUCGGCGGAGUCGGAGCGUACUCUCAGCGUAGUAAUACCAUUCUCGCUUUUGCAGUAGCCCCGGCGGCUUGCCGUAAAACCCCUAUAUCUUUAGUGGUUGACCUCGAAUCAGGUAGGAAUACCCGCUGAACUUAAGCAUAUCAAUAAGCGGAGGA